GAUGAAGAACGCAGCGAAAUGCGAUACGUAAUGUGAAUUGCAGAAUUCAGUGAAUCAUCGAAUCUUUGAACGCAUAUUGCGCUCUCUGGUAUUCCGGAGAGCAUGCUUGUUUGAGUAUCAGUAAACACCUCAACUUCCAUAUCUUUUUUGAAAUGGGAGUUGGACUUGAGUGAUCCCAACGCUUUUCCUCACCGAAAAGUGGCGGGUUACUUGAAAUGCAGGUGCAGCUGGACUUUUCUCUGAGCUAUAAGCAUAUCUAUUUAGUCUGCCUCAAAACAGAUUAUUACCUUUGCUGCAGCUAACAUAAAGGAGAUUAGUUCUUGUGCUGACUGAUGCAGGAUUCACAAAGACCGCUUCGGCUGUCUUUGUAAACUCGAUCUCAAAUCAAGUAAGACUACCCGCUGAACUUAAGCAUAUCAAUAAGCGGAGGA
rnacentral:misc_RNA from 1 species